rnacentral:rRNA from 1 species
UACGUAGGGUGCAAGCGUUAAUCGGAAUUACUGGGCGUAAAGCGUGCGCGGGCGGUUGUGCAAGACAGAUGUGAAAUCCCCCGGGCUCAACCUGGGAACGUGCAUUUGUGACUGCACGGCUAGAGUACGGUAGAGGGGGAGUGGAAUUCCGCGUGUAGCAGUGAAAUGCGUAGAUAUGCGGAGGAACACCGAUGGCGAAGGCAAUCCCCCUGGACCUGUACUGACGCUCAUGC